UUUUAUGAGAGUUUGAUCCUGGCUCAGGACGAACGCUGGCGGCGUGCCUAAUACAUGCAAGUCGAACGCUUCUUUUUCCACCGGAGCUUGCUCCACCGGAAAAAGAGGAGUGGCGAACGGGUGAGUAACACGUGGGUAACCUGCCCAUCAGAAGGGGAUAACACUUGGAAACAGGUGCUAAUACCGUAUAACAAUCAAAACCGCAUGGUUUUGAUUUGAAAGGCGCUUUCGGGU
rnacentral:rRNA from 1 species